CAUGCAGUCGAACGAAGCCUUCGGGCUUAGUGGCGCACGGGUGCGUAACGCGUGGGAAUCUGCCCUUGGGUUCGGAAUAACAGUGAGAAAUUACUGCUAAUACCGGAUGAUGUCUUCGGACCAAAGAUUUAUCGCCCAGGGAUGAGCCCGCGUUAGAUUAGCUAGUUGGUGGGGUAAUGGCCUACCAAGGCGACGAUCUAUAGCUGGUCUGAGAGGAUGAUCAGCCACACUGGGACUGAGACACGGCCCAGACUCCUACGGGAGGCAGCAGUGGGGAAUAUUGGACAAUGGGCGAAAGCCUGAUCCAGCAAUGCCGCGUGAGUGAUGAAGGCCUCAGGGUUGUAAAGCUCUUUUACCAGGGAUGAUAAUGACAGUACCCGGAGAAUAAGCUCCGGCUAACUCCGUGCCAGCAGCCGCGGUAAUACGGAGGGAGCUAGCGUUGUUCGGAAUUACUGGGCGUAAAGCGCGCGUAGGCGGUGACUCAAGUCAGAGGUGAAAGCCCGGGGCUCAACCCCGGAACUGCCUUUGAAACUAGGUCGCUAGAAUCUUGGAGAGGCGAGUGGAAUUCCGAGUGUAGAGGUGAAAUUCGUAGAUAUUCGGAAGAACACCAGUGGCGAAGGCGACUCGCUGGACAAGUAUUGACGCUGAGGUGCGAAAGUGUGGGGAGCAAACAGGAUUAGAUACCCUGGUAGUCCACACCGUAAACGAUGAUAACUAGCUGUCCGGGCUCUUGGAGUUUGGGUGGCGCAGCUAACGCAUUAAGUUAUCCGCCUGGGGAGUACGGUCGCAAGAUUAAAACUUAAAGGAAUUGAC
rnacentral:rRNA from 1 species